GCCGUGCGAAAGAUGCUCAGGCACUUUAAAUUAAAAGGCGCGUGUAGAAAUUGAAACGCAAUGAAACAUUUAACAGUGCACUGUACAUGAACGUACUUCGCGACAUCUGUAAUAAUCCUAUUCGGUAUCAAGCAAGAGCCAAGAAUAUGUAUGAUUGAUAAUGUUCUGGUAUGGCUUUGCAUAUUAGAUGUCACGAGAGCCUACGAAAAAAGGAAUGUUUAUUGUAAUAACAAACCCAUACAUAAUUCAACAAAUAUCAUUGUAAAAUCGCCAAACUAAAGCUACGUAAAAACGGUCCGUGCGCGAGGAUCGCCAUUCUAUGUUGAAAAAUAAAAACACUCGUACAAAAAACACCAACCUAAAAAUCAUUAUUGCUCAGAUCAGUCCACAACAUGUUGAUGCAUCGCGCACGAAGCACCACCUGCAAUAGAACCAUAACAGAACAGCUGAUAGUAUUUCGUUCGAGGCACUGCACGUAGAACAAAACCUGGUCCGUAUCAAUCCUUUUGGCGCCAAAUUGUUGGUACCAUCGGUUCGCGGACGCUUGAAACACCACGGUAAAUUGCCUCCAAAUGUAAGUCUGGGAUCGAUUCCCGAUAUUUCCUACCAUUACUAUCUUUACAGAAAACACACAUGGGCGAGCUGGCAAUAUCACUCCAGUAUAUGACUAUCAUACUUACCCUUGCGCACAUCGCGCGAGGAUACCCUAACCUUGAAAUAAUAGUACGGUCUAAAUCCUAUACCACUAGUCAAAACGAAACAAACCGACAAGCCCUAGGCAGAACGAACGAACGAACGCGAUGCAAGACACACCAGCGCAGAACAGAACUCGCGAAUCGAACAAAUACUAGAAUUAGCAGGAGCAAGCAAGAGAAAAAAAAGACGGUCGAUCGCCACACAUAAAAAAAAUAAUGUGGCAACGGCUGUGACAAGCUUUUUUGCUUUAAAUUUGAAAUUGAGCUUUUUGCUAGACAUCCGCACGAUGACAGCAAAAAUCCUGCAGUCCUCCUGCUGUUUGGACGAGACUGACUGAUUGUCGGAACAAAUAGCGGAAAACGUUUCGGUAUACGAAAAAUAGGACGCAACUUUUGCCGAAACUCAUACAAAACGUCAGAUUGGGUUGCUUGGUGAAAAAUUGACAAGUCCAACGAAGCCGGGUAAGCAAAACCAAAACAGAAGCCAACAAAAAUAACUAACAUUUUGUAUCUUUUAAGGAAACAAAUUCUUCGGGUCAAAUGUUCAACAUGCCACCUAAAUCAUCCCUGUAUCGGAUGCGCCGAAGCUAUGUUGUCGAGGCAGUAAGAAGGAAGUUUCCGGAACUCUUUCGGUCCCGGCAUCAGCGAACAGGAGCUUUGAUGUGAUCUACUAGUGCAAUGCUUCGCAUGUUGGCCAUCGUAGCUUCGAAUCCCAUGAGAUUGAUGGAGGAUUUACCACCCAACUGAACCGAGAGCCUGAACGGUGAACUUUCAACAACGGAAGGAUUCAACAAAUAGAUUGUUUCGGGAAUGAAACAAUUCAGUUGCUCAAAGCAUUGUACAACGCGGAAGUUUGGUCCUGGUUGGUUCGGUUGGCUGAGGUAGGCGUUAUCCGGUGGCUGCCUGAGGUUGGCGUAAUCCUGCGACUGGCCGAGGUUGGCGUUAUCCGGUGGCUGGCUAAGGUUGGAGAUAUUCGAUGGCUGGCUGAGGUUGGUAAUUUGCAUCAACAGUUGUUACACUACUGCGGUUCGAUUAACCACCUUAUCGUUCAGCACGUCGUUCUCCAUCUUCAGCCGCGUUAUUAUUUUACGCACUUAUUUACAUCGAUCGAAUAAAAAAAUUCAUUUAUUUCUAAUUACGAUUUUAACAAUAUUUUUGAAAGGCCAGGCGAAAGAAACCAUUUAUUACCACUACAUGCAUACCUACCUACCGUAUCUCACCAAUACAUACAUACCUCUGGACUGUCAAAGCUCACCCACACAACCGCAAAAG